CUGCUGCUGCUACCUGUCCGUCUCUGUGUUGCUCUGCUGUCUGUGCUUAAGGCUGUACACCCCGGGGUUUUGCUUUGCUUGCUUUUCUGCUUUGUAAUUCUCUUGCUAAAUGUCUGUUUGUAUUUUUCCUGCUGUUCAUAUGAUUCAGUGUAUUAAACUCUGUUCCAAGAAUUCUACUCUUUUACAGAGCAUCUUUUUGAGUGUCUUGGUUUUAAUUGGAUUUGGAUCUCCACAUCGUUGGUGGGAGAAGGUUAUCAGAAUGGCUUCAAAAUUUGCGACCACAAUUGGCGACGUACGAAGGGACAAGGAAUUAAGGUGAUUGCUGGGAGCCUUGGGGAAUGCCAAAGCCUUGCACAUCAGAGAACACCAAGCGGCCGCUACAAUAAGGUGGAGAUGGCAUCUGGAUAACAGACGGAGAUGCAGAGGUCCUGGAGCAGGUGCUGAUGAUCUGAUCACGAGUGCGAGGGGACAACGGAGUGAAACAGGCUGCUCCAGACAGCUGAACCAUGACCCAUCCAGUAGCCGUUGAAUCUGCUGCAGAGCCUACAGCCCAAGUGGAGCUGUACAGUGCCCAAACCAGCUUCCGAAUGAUGAAUGAGCAAGAUCAACUACUACCCAUCGCCGACCCUGACUUUAAUCAAGAAUAGGACCAAGUCGUCUCGAGUAUUCUUAGAAGCUAUGCAAGAUCCAGCAGUCAAGAAGUACCAAGAGAGACUUUUCUCGGACUCAUAAAUUGGUUGAAAUAUGGACUGAAAAAGGGACACAAGUUGAGUAAAGUGUGAAGCUGACUGCAGAAAACUGUCAACCUUGAAGCUAUCAAAGGACAUUUCAAAGCCCACACUGAGAAGUCUGUUCAGAAAAAGAAGUUGCACCUGACCAAGAUGAAAUCCAAAAUUGGGAAAUAAUUGUUUAAUUGUAUUAUUUUUAAUGCCAUUUAUGGUGUUGUGUAAGCCAUGUAUGUAUUAUGUGUCUCUGCUGAUGGUGUUUUAUGCCUUACUUUCAUUUUCCUGUAAUUAGGCUGGUUUUUAAGUUUCUUGAGUAUUCUGUUAGGGAUACUGUGUAGUAUGAUUUGCAAAUUAAGAGGAAUCACUUUGUCUUAAAUUAAUUGACUAAAAGAAAUGGAAUGUUGGGAAAAUGUUGACUAUGAGGUUUUUGGUGGAAGGAAGGGCUUAUUCAAUUGAGCAACAACUGUGUGGGAUCUUUAUACAAAUUCUUAUGUUCUAUGUAGAGCUUGCUUUAAAGUAUGUUAGCAAAAAAAAAACAGCGCACGCAUUAGUUUUACCGAUUUUAGUUAUGGGGUCUUUUUUAGGUGGUACCUCUAGGUACCACAGGGGGGAAUGUGGUGGAUUUUUGUUUGAUAUGUAUAACUAUGUAACUAUAUACACUAUAUAUCUAUCUGCACUGAACAUAUAUACUCUAAUUUUCACUGUAACUUUCAUGUGGAGUCUUAAGCACAAGACAUUUUUUGCUUCACCGAGGUUUAUUAAGUUGGUACAGUAACAGGGCAGUUAAUGUAAGGGGAGAGUUCUCUGAAUAAUUUGCUCUCCAGUAACUAACCUUCCCUAAUACACACUCAACGUCUUUUUAACGCAGCACAACCAAAACAGUAACAUUGUAACAGAGAUCCUGAACACAUCACGAUAAGGUACCAUACAAAAUAAACACACACACACACACACACACACACACACACACACACACACACACACACACACACUUUGAACCCACAGUGAAGUGUUUUUAAGCAUGUAACCUGUGUAUUAUAUGUUAUAAGAUUGUGCCACUUGCUGUAUAAGAUUUAAUAAUUAGGAUUAAUGUGUGACCUUUGACCGUGUCAUGACCUAUUGUGAUAAGCCAGAGCAAGGGGUACUCAGAAUCCUGACUGGCCUUUGGCCAAGACCUUGGCCGCUACCUGACCCCAGCAGCUGUGCUGGGCGUGUGGGAAAGUUACCCAGCAGCAGGGGGCGACGAUACUGGUCCCUAUAUUAGGGGACCAGAGGACGCCCCCAGAGCUCUUUUUCCUCCUGCUGCUGCUUCCUGUCCGUCUCUGUGUUGCUCUGCUGUCUGUGCUUAAGGCUGUACACCCCGGGGUUUUGCUUUGCUUGCUUUUCUGCUUUGUAAUUCUCUUGCUAAAUGUCUGUUUGUAUUUUUCCUGCUGUUCAUAUGAUUCAGUGUAUUAAACUCUGUUCCAAGAAUUCUACUCUUUUACAGAGCAUCUUUUUGAGUGUCUUGGUUUUAAUUGGAUUUGGAUCUCCACAUCGUUGGUGGAAGAAGGUUAUCAGAAUGGCUUCAAAAUUUG
ensembl:lncRNA